UACGGAGGGUGCGAGCGUUGUCCGGAGUCACUGGGCGUAAAGGGCGCGUAGGCGGCGCGGAUAGUCGGCGGUGAAAGCCCGGAGCUCAACUCCGGGUCGGCCGUCGAUACUUCCGGGCUUGAGCACUGUAGAGGCAGAUGGAAUUCCGGGUGUAGCGGUGGAAUGCGUAGAGAUCCGGAAGAACACCGGUGGCGAAGGCGGCCUGCUGGGCAGUGGCUGACGCUGAGGCGCGACAGCGUGGGGAGCAAACAGG
rnacentral:rRNA from 1 species